GGCGCCCGGGCACACCCGCGCGGGCACCCGCCCCUGCCCGGCCCGCGCGGCCAGGUGAGCCGAGGACGCUAGCAGGUGGGGGCGACAAGAUGCGGUGGCCGCUUCCCAGCACCGACCUGAACCCGGCCUCCUGGUGCAGAGAGCAGGGGUCUUCGGGCCCUCGCCUGGCGCUGAGCCCCUACUAAGAGGAAUUCCUGCAGAUCCAGCCUGGCCUCCGGGGGCCUGUGAAGUCUGCGAGGCCAAAAAGAUGGAAAAGCCCUCAAAGACAAGCCCCGGGCACCCCUUAAACCCACCUACCACCCGAGGACAGGACCUGAGACGGGGGUGCGUGACGGAGAGGCCCAGACGGGAUCGGCUGGAAAGAAAGGGGUGCCUCUAACCACAUCGGUGGGCAUUCAGUCAACAAACGCACCAAGCGCCAGCGCCCUCCCGGAUACAGAACUGAAAAAUGCCAGGCCCACCCUCAGCAGGUGCCCUAAGAGACCAUGCGACAGACACGGGCGCCAAGAUGCUGGGGGCGGGGUGGGGGCGAGGCUUCAGGACAACAUGGAACGGAGGAGGCAGAGCGCGGGCACCUACCUGGGCCAGGUGAGGUUCCCAGGAGUGUGGGCACUGACAGGGCUGCUGCCCACCGAGUCCCAGCAGAUGCCAGCCCCUAGUCUGUGACGGGCCCCUGGCGCCACGGAGGGGACCCCACCUUCCUGCUCUUUGUCAUCCUGCGUCUCCUUGUGGGGCCAGCGGGACACUCGAGCAGCUUAACAGUGCCCUCUGCCCCGAUCAGGUGCUCCUUAGCACACAAGGAGCAUCACGGUCCCGGUCACAUGGCCGCAGCCACCUCAUUCGGCACCUUUAUCAGCAAACGGGCGUCAGGGACCCGGAUGUCCUCGCGGGUGGGAAGGGACUAUGGCUUCUGCCAUUUGCCAAACACCCGACACGUGCCAGGACAGCCGAGCUUGGGCCUUGCGGGGUGGGCCGGGUGACCCCCAUUACAACGAAGGCCGGCUGGGAGACCAGAGGAGGUUAACUAGCCCAGGUACACAGAUUCGAUCCAGGCCUGAUCCCGAACCCGGCCGCCUGCCUGCACCUGGCAGCACUUGGUGAUCACCGGCCGCGCACACGGCACCCUGUCCGGCACAGGGGCCAGCCCCCCCCCCCCCCCCACUGGUAUCCGGAAGUCCCAGAGCGCCUCUCCUUCUUCAAAGCUGGGCUCAAACCUUAUCUCCUCCGAGAAGGCUUUUCCCUUCCCUGGCUCUGGAAUUCAUCCCUCCAGGCGCUGAGUCCCACAGGGCUGCGGGCCUUAGACGCUGUUAAGGGGGGCUGGGAGGGUGUCAGUGAGAAAGACAGGUUCCCAGGGCCACUCACUGUUGGGAGCAACCCAGUGGGCCAGGAGAGGGCAUCCCUUCACAGGCUGGGAGAGGAGGAGUCUGGGCCUCGGAGAUAAUUGGAGCCCCAGCUCCUCCCCCUCCUCCUCCCCCCACCCCGCAAGGAGCCCGGAGGGCAGAGGGACGGCUGUCGUGACCCAGCCCCAGCCCCCGGGGCCCCUCAGCUCCACGCAGAUCUGCUGAGCGGGUAAACGGAGGGAAAGGGCUGCAGCGGGGGAGGCAGCGCAGCCGCCCUCGGUCCUGCCGGGGAGCAGGGGGAGGUGCUGGGGGGACGCCCCGGCCCCCGGUAGCCAAGGUCACCUGCAGGGGAGCAGCAAGGGUUGAGGCCCGGCCGCCCCCUCGGCCGCGGGACCGGAGUCUGCCUCCUCACCCCGGCCGCCCCAGCCCUGCCUGCCCUUCGCCAGCCUCCUCGCCGCGCUCGGCGCACAGCUGCGCUCCCUUACAAUCAGUUAACAGCUGUUUUGCAUAGAUUUUCAAUUCUAAUUGCCUCGCUUUGUGAGCGCCGCCGAGCCCCGGUGAAUGGGGAAGCCGCCGGGCGGGGAGGGGACACUCGAGGGGGACUCAAAGGAAGCCAGUGUGCGCGGGGCGGGCGGCCUUUAUUUCUUUUAAAUAAGAAAAGCACACCCCUGCCCUGAGCUGCCCCCGCCGCGGCUCCUGCACCUCCCGGCGCAGCCCGGAAUCUGAAAGGCGCCCUGCGGCCCCCUCCCAGCCCCCCUCUACAGACCCGGUCCCCUGGGGGGCGGCCCCCAGCCCCGCCCCGCCGGGGGAGCCGGCCCCCUCCCCCAGCCCCCGGGCUCGCCGGUACUCAGAUAUGGGAAGCUAAUUGGACAAUAAAGUUGAGCUGCGAGCAAACGCGCUCUCUGGAGACA